rnacentral:lncRNA from 1 species
CAAAUGAUUAAUAUUAAACCAAACAUUGUUCAUUUAACAGAUAACUGAAAAACGUAUUAUUGGUUAAAGGCUCUGUUUGGGAGCAGUGUUUUAGAACAGAACAUGUAAUAAAAUGGGAGGAAACCCAAGUGGCAUCAUAGAGCAUUAGGCUGAGGCUGAGGCUGGUAACAACUGCAGUCAGUCAGCUAGGCAAGGCUGUUAGAAUUUACAAAGAGAUGAGAACAGAAGGGAACGAUGCACAAAGUUUGCCCAGUAGUUUUGAAUGUGGAAGGGGUAAUCUAAGACCCGAAACAUUUCAUGGAAUGUGCCAGUUUCAGAUGAGGGAAAAUUUAAACCUUCAUUACCCAAGACUAUAGAUAAGGAAUCACAAGCAAAUAAACACUGAGGCUACAGUCCAGGUAUUUAUGGAAUGCCAAUCCUAUUUGGGGCAAAGAUCUUCUAAGUGGUUAUCCUUCUGAAAAAACACCCAGUCAGAGCUACUAGAAGAAGAAGGCAAAGGUCUUUGCACUGUCAAGGUGCAAAGGGAAGGUGUUGUAGG